UCCACAGGAAGGGAGCCACCACGCUGAAGGCUCUUCCCCUUUUUGCAUUUGCUUUUUUUGCAGCCAUGUCACACUGUUGGCUCAUAUUCAGCUUGUGAUCUACAACAAUUCCAAGAUCCUUCUUGUUUGUAGUAUUACUGAGCCAAGUAUCCCCCGUCUUGUAACUGUGCAUUUGGCUUCAUUUUCCUAGGUGUAGAACUUGGCAUUUAUCCCCAUUAAAUUUCAUUCUGUUGUUUUCAGCCCAGCGCUCCAGCCUAUCAAGACCACUUUGAAGUUUGCUUCUGUCUUCCAGGGUAUUAGCUAUCCCACCCAAUUUUGUGUCAUCUGCAAAUUUGAUAAGGGUUCCUUGCACCCCCACAUCCAAAUCAUUAAAAAAAAUUUGAAGGGCACUGGGCCCAGGACUGGGCCCUGUGGGACAAUGUUAGCCCUCCUCCAGUCAUCCAGCACCUCACUCGUCUUCCAUGAUUUUGCAAAGAUAAUAGACAGUGGUUCUGGGAGUUCUUCCUCCAGUUCCUUUAUUAUUCUAGGAUGCAGCUCAUUGAGCCCUGGAGAUUUGAACUCGUUCAAAGAAAUUAGGUGUUCCUUGACCAUUUGACCAUAAAUCAUAAGCACCAACCCUCUGGAUUUGUGGCACAUGGGUUAGAGGGUUCCUGGGCUUGCUGGUUUGUGAAGCUCUAGUUGUGCGAUGUCAUAUAAAUUGUGUAUAUGGGUUUCCUUCUGUGGAUAGCUCUGUCAAAUUAAUGCAGGGGUGCAGAAGAUCAGGCUCUGGGGACCUAAUCUGGACCUCCUGUUGUCCUAAUCUGCCAUCUGGUGUUUUUAUGAGAGUACUACACUCCCUCCUCCUGGCCCCACCCCUUUCCCCCAGCUUCCCCCAGUCUACUUUACUCCUUUGUAUCUGGUCAAGAGGACAGGGCUACUACAGCUUUAACUGUUGUGAUUAAGAGGGAAUUUCACCAGGUGUUGCAUGCAUACAAAUGACACCUGCUGAAAUUCCCUUUUUUUUUUUUACAACUGCUGAAGAUACAGCAGCCCUCUUCUCCUUUCCAUAUGGUCACCCUAUGUAAUAUGAACCAGUGAAGGGCCCCAUUGCUUCUCCCAAAUUCAUCUAAUGGAGUAGAAUCCAUACUAUUGACUCGGGCAUUCAGGCACUCUGUUUCCUAAACUCUGUGACAUCUGGCAAGUUGCAGUUCCAGCACUGGAGUCACUGAAGGAUGAAAGAUGCAAAGGAGGCAGGAAGAAGCCUCAAGAAAAAGACUGCUGCUGCUGCUUCUGCUUCAUUCCCAGAACAUUUGCUAUUGUGGCACAGCCUGUCUCUCCUUACCCAGCAUCCCAUGAUUUCACACUCUUGAGAUAAAAAACUGAUUCUACUUCAGUGACUUCAAAACAAAGAUUUCUGAAGCGAUGACUUUGUAUCUUCAUUGUCCUGAAAGAAGGAGACUCCUGCAGAGGAAAAACAUCAAAUCCAAUAUUUUGAUUGAUACUAAUAAAUGUAUUUUGUAUCUAGAGUAAAUCCUUGGUCCAAUUUUUUUUUUGAAAUGAACUAUCUUGCCACUGUUCCUCCAUUUUAAACGGCCCUCAUUUCCUCUCAUCUUCAUUAUUAUAAAGGUUUUAGCCUAGUUUUUCCCGUGAGCA